rnacentral:rRNA from 1 species
AUCAACGCUGGCGGCGUGCCUAACACAUGCAAGUCGAACGCGAAAGUCCCGCAAGGGAUGAGUAGAGUGGCAAACGGGUGAGUAACGCGUGGGCGACCUACCUUCGAGUGGGGGAUAACCUUCCGAAAGGAGGGCUAAUACCGCAUGACAUCCCGUGUUUGGAGACACGGACAUCAAAGCCGGGGAUCGCAAGACCUGGCGCUUGGAGAGGGGCCCGCGUCCGAUUAGCUAGUUGGNGGGGUAACGGCCCACCAAGGCUCCGAUCGGUAUCCGGCCUGAGAGGGCGGACGGACACACUGGGACUGAGACACGGCCCAGACUCCUACGGGAGGCAGCAGUGGGGAAUUGUUCGCAAUGGGCGCAAGCCUGACGACGCAACGCCGCGUGGAGGAUGAAGACCUCGGUCGGUAA